AUUAUGUCGUUAAUAAAGGUGCUGCGGGAGUUAUGGUUCCAGCGGCUUCCACAACAGGUGCAAGGAAUCCUAACAGCUCAAAGUGACCUCAAUCUGGACAAGGUAGCCGAACUAGCGGACAAAAUACUGGAGAAAUAACCCGGCCUCCUGGCAUCACACGUGAGGUGAAGCAUGACACCGUGCAUCAUAUCAAGACCACCGACGGGCCUCCUGUCGUGGCUAGGCCCCGUCGCCUGGCACCUGACAAGCUGCGUGCUGCACAGAAGGAGUUUGCGGAGAUGGUGCGCGUCGGAACAGCGCGUCCCUCCAAGAGCCCGUGGUCCUCGCCGCUGCACCUCGCGCCCAAGAAGGACAUGUUAUGGAGACCGUGUGGUGACUAUAGGGCACUUAAUGCCCGCACAGUGCCAGAUCGAUACCCAGUGCGUCAUAUAGGGGACUUCAGCCAUAACCUGGCAGGCUCCACUAUAUUUAACACUAUCGAUCUUGUCAAAGCAAGUACGAUCGGACUGUACCGUUUAAACUGCACCGAUUAUCGAAACGUGUGUGUGAUAAAAACUGUACUAAAAGUGCUACUCGUAACGAUUUUUUGAAACUGUACCGUCAAACGGAGUAGAAUGAUAAUUUGAAUAGAUAAAACGGAAUCGGACGAAACUGUGCCGAUAAUCGUAACGUGUGUGCGCUCACUUUUUGCGUGGAUCGCGCAUCGAGUGGUUACUGCGUACGUUCUUAAAAAUAGCUCACCGUGAGUGGCUCGAAGAGUUUAUAGUUAUGUAUCGCAAUGAACCUAGUUUAUGGAAAAUAAAAUCCAAGGAAUAUCACAACCGUGAUUUGAGAAAUUUGGCUUACAAUAAGCUGACUGACAAAUUGAAAGUAAUAGAUCCAAACGCUAAUAAAGACGCUGUUGUUAAAAAAAUCAUCAACUUUCGUUCUACCUACAAAAAAGAACGUAAGAAGGUCGCUGAUUCGAUGAAGUCUGGAGCAGGCGUUACGAAAAUUUACUCACCAAAACUGUGGUAUUACAAUUUGCUGCUGUUUUUGGAUGAUCAAGAAGAAGCAAGACCUUCGCGUUCUAAUAUUGACGACGACCUAACAGAAAAUGAGGGUCCUGCGGCGUCCUGAUAGGUUAAGAGUCAAUUCGCUGCCCAAUGAAGCACACGCCGAGUUGCCAAGGAAACAGCCGAGGCGCAACAGUAUUUAAGAUUAAAAUCUUUAGCUAGCAUGUUCAAGUUUUUGUUCGCUGUCCCGAUUUAGUAUAUGACAUCAUUGAUGCGGAACAUAUAAUGAUAGCAAUCACUUUUUUUGUUCUCUAUACAAAUUUGUAUGGAAGAAACGUUCCUCGCAUUAGAAAUAAACAUUAAGGCGGUGAUGUCAUUAUACUUGCAAGUUACACGUGGAACAAUAAAAUCUCCUUUAGAAGUCA